rnacentral:misc_RNA from 1 species
GAUGAAGAACGUAGCGAAAUGCGAUAAGUAAUGUGAAUUGCAGAAUUCAGUGAAUCAUCGAGUCUUUGAACGCACAUUGCGCCCCCUGGUAUUCCGGGGGGCAUGCCUGUCCGAGCGUCAUUGCUGCCCUCAAGCACGGCUUGUGUGUUGGGCCCCCGUCCCCGGUUUCCCCCGGGGACGGGCCCGAAAGGCAGCGGCGGCACCGCGUCCGGUUCUCGAGCGUAUGGGGCUUUGUCACCCGCUCUGUAGGCCCGGCCGGCGCCAGCCGACACCCAACUUUAUUUCUAAGGUUGACCUCGGAUCAGGUAGGGAUACCCGCUGAACUUAAGCAUAUCAAUAAGCGGAGGA